UUCCAUAGGAGAUCGACACGAUUUCUAUGAAUUUUUCACCUUUAAUUGUACAUAAAUGAUAAAUAUCACAAGGGUUAUUUAUUAGAUACAUGUCGCCAUUGUGGUAAAGCUGGCUGGAUUUGAUGGGCUUAUCCGACACCUUUUACGUUUAAGCUCAAAAGGGAAAAGAUAUCAGAACAGGAAUCCUGUAAACUGCUUACCUUAUUCAAAUUAAACUGCAGAAAGAAUUGUGAUCAACUUUUUUUUGAAAGAUGAAUAAUUUGGGAAGUCCGAAUGUGUACAUCUUAAGCGCAGCUGAUGGAGGCGGUGGGGGUG